AUGAAAAAAUAAUAACACACACACACAAACACACACACACACACACACACACACACACACACACACACACGCACACACACACACACCAGAGUAGUACAUGCAUAUCGUAUAUCACCAAGCACCUGUUUCUGUCUUCAGACCUUUCCGUGUUUAUAUUUAGCCGUUUACGAGCCACCAUUACCUGAAAAGGUGCCCCAGAACACUUGCAGUUCUAAUGCCUCGAGAUUUCUGUUUCAGUCUGAGUCUGUUAUUACUACGUGUGUUGGAAACUGUUGAAAGGAUAAGCGAACACGCCUUCUGGGGGGAGACGUGAAAGCCAGAGCGGAUCCUUGGUCUGACUCAGGACCGCCCUUCCCCCCUUUCCCCAGAGUCACCGUAGACGUGGAAUGACGCAUCCUCUGACGCUGGAGUGGGGGUGGAGAAGCUUGCCGUUUGUUGUGUAUCUUUUUAAGAAACAAGAUCUUUAGGUUUACAUCGAAGACAGCAGAUGAAGUUUACAGUUCUUCACUUUGAAAGCAAAAAUGGUUUAUAACUAUGUGCAGUUAUCAAUACGAAUAUAAUUAGAGUCAUAUCAAUAAUUUAGCAGGAUGUUACGUCAGUACCUAUAACCAGAAACUCUAAAUAUAGAAUAGUUGCUAUAGAAAUUGCAGCUUCAGUGACUCUGUAAGGAAAAAUACAUUUAAAUACCUUCUGUACAUUCAAAAUAUAACGUUGUUUUGUGGGGUGUAAACUUUUUAAAAGUAGUUUUUUUAAAUAAGAAAAUAUAUGUCCAUUAUUUAUUUUUGUUCUGUUUAAUUGAUUUUUGCAAUUUCUGAGGUUGGUCGAGAUCCUCUAUUCCUGGGGUUUUUGACAUUCUGUAACCAUCCACGCUAAGUUCCAGACAUAACGACUCCGCACCCGAAAAGCUUCUUCCCCCAUUCCACUGUUCUCCUAAAUAAGGUCCCAUGAGAAGCUCACUGGCCGCUGGGGCUCCUUCCCACACACACUCACCCACUAUACUUCACACUUCCAUUGACUCCAAGCUUAUUUGCAUAUCUCUCAAACUGCUCGCACCCCACAUCGUGUCUCUCACUUAUUUAUAUGAUUGCAUGUUUGUUUCUUAAUUAACUGCACAUCUUCAUAUUCUCUCUCAUCUUUAUUCAGUAUAUUAUUUUGUGUACGUUUUGCACAAAGCGAAUAAAACGAUCUUGAUUGCUUACAGUUUCACACCUUUUGCAAGCAGAACAGUCUCCAUCUACUGGCACUGAGAAGGAGCGACAGGGUUUGUUCAUAACAUAGAUAUUGUUGAAUAAAAAUGUUGGCAUUACAGCAGGCAAAGAUUUUGAGAGAAACGAAACGUGUGUACUGUAGUAACAGUAAUUCCUUUUAUAUUUAAAUGUGAUUAAACGUAUACAAUCCAAUAAUUAAACGUGUUAACAUGGGCCGUUGUUAGCCAUUGAUUACCUGUGGAGUAAGACGACACAGAUGGAGGCGAAUAGAAAGUAAUGCUUCUUUUAAUAACAUGGCGCGCAAAUCUGAAUUAGAUACAACAUGAUAAAUCUUACCUUUCAGAUUCCUUAUUAUGAGGUAAACACCCAUAGAAGCUGUAAUAUCUGUAACGAUCCUCAUUUGAGACUCUAGUACACAUUUCAUAUCAUUUAUCGAUACAGUUAUUUACUAACGCUCAGGAGUUUUAAUCCGUAGCAUAUAGUCACUAAUCCCCCAAGUAUAAUGGAGAACAUCGAGUACAUAUUAUCGCACCACAAAUAAUUAAAAUGAAUGCAUUUGGGGCUUUUUAAUGAUUAAUCUUUUUUUAAAUAAACCUGACACCUGUUGUAAACAGAUUUUUUUUAAAAGGCUGGGGGCAGCUUUCAUUGAAGUUAAGCUCACAGGAAAUGUAUCCAGUCAUCGACGAACAAGUACAUUGCGUUCAUGUCUGGCUGCUGCUGGAUCCAACCCUCCCUUAUUCAUAAUGGUUUCUGCUGAACAAGUGUGCCCUCUACUGGCAAAUGUCAGUAAUAAUAAAAACAAAAAAAA